UACGUAGGGUGCAAGCGUUAAUCGGAAUACUGGGCGAAAGCGUGCGCAGGCGGUGAUGUAAGACAGAUGUGAAAUCCCCGGGCUCAACCUGGGAACUGCAUUGUGACUGCAUCGCUGGAGUGCGGCAGAGGGGGAUGGAAUUCCGGCGUGUAGCAGUGAAAUGCGUAGAUAUGCGGAGGAACACCGAUGGCGAAGGCAAUCCCCUGGGCCUG
rnacentral:rRNA from 1 species